rnacentral:SRP_RNA from 1 species
CCAGAUCCCUCGCGCGGCAUUACCGUGCUGAACUCCCCCAGGGCUGGAAGGCAGCAAGGGUAGGUGCGCUCUUAUGGGUGCGCGAGGGGUCCUUUUA